CACCCCGCCGCGGCCACUGUUCGCACAUACCUGGUGCUGAUCAGCGCCGAGGCCGACUCGCCGCCACCCAGCGCGCCGCAGGCCGGGGCGGAGAGGCGCAGGGCGCUGGGCAGUCUCCGGCGAGGGCAAGGAGCGGUGCCCGGCUGGGCCGGCUAUGUCUCCCGCUACUGCGGUUCCCGCCGGCGCCCGCGACCUCGGGGGAGCAGCCGGGUUCGGGGGCGCCGCGCUGUGAGGCCGGGGCCUAGAGCCAGCCGCGGCCGCGCAGGAGGGGCCCAGGGCCCGCGCUCGCCCGCGCCCGCGUCCCCGCCUUCCUCCCGCGCUCAGCCCCGCCUCGGCUCGCUGACCUUGGCUCUCGUCGCCAUGGCCUCCGUCGCCCGGGAGAGCGCGGGCUCGCAGCGCCGGCUACCGCCGCGUCACGGGGCGCUGCGCGGGCUGCUACUGCUCUGCCUGUGGCUGCCGAGCGGCCGUGCGGCCUUGCCGCCCGCGGCGCCGCUGUCCGAACUGCACGCGCAGCUGUCGGGCGUGGAGCAGCUGCUGGAGGAGUUCCGCCGGCAACUGCAGCAGGAGCGGCCUCAGGAGGAGCUGGAGCUGGAGCUGCGCGCGGGCGGCGGCCCCCAGGAGGACUGCCCGGGCCCGGGCGGCGGCGGCUACAGCGCAAUGCCUGACGCCAUCAUCCGCACCAAGGACUCCCUGGCGGCGGGUGCCAGCUUCCUGCGGGCGCCGGCGGCCGUGCGGGGCUGGCGGCAAUGCGUGGCGGCCUGCUGCUCCGAGCCGCGCUGCUCCGUGGCCGUGGUGGAGCUGCCCCGGCGCCCCGCGCCCCCGGCAGCCGUGCUCGGCUGCUACCUCUUCAACUGCACGGCGCGCGGCCGCAACGUCUGCAAGUUCGCGCUGCACAGCGGCUACAGCAGCUACAGCCUCAGCCGCGCGCCGGACGGCGCCGCCCUGGCCACCGCGCGCGCCUCGCCCCGGCAGGAAAAGGAUGCGCCUCCACUUAGCAAGGCUGGGCAGGAUGUGGUUCUGCAUCUGCCCACAGACGGGGUGGUUCUAGACGGCCGCGAGAGCACAGAUGACCACGCCAUCGUCCAGUAUGAGUGGGCACUGCUGCAGGGGGACCCGUCAGUGGACAUGAAGGUGCCUCAAUCGGGAACCCUGAAGCUGUCCCACCUACAGGAGGGAACCUACACCUUCCAGCUGACCGUGACGGACACUGCCGGGCAGAGAAGCUCUGACAACGUGUCAGUGACAGUGCUUCGCGCGGCCUACUCCACAGGAGAUGGAUGGUCCAUUUGCUGCAUCUGUUCCAAGAGGGAAGCUAAGGAGUUUAGUGAAACCAGUUGAACUCGUGGAAGCAGAGAGUGGAAUGGCGGUUACUGGAGGCUGUGCGGGGGACGGACUGGGAAAGGAGAGAUGCUGGUCAAAGGGUACAAAGUGUCACUGAGACCGGAGGAACAGGUUCUGGUGAUCUGUUGUACAGCAUGGUGACUAUAGUUAAUGAUAAUGUAUUGUCUGUUUCAAAAUUGCUAAAACAGUAGGUUUUAAAUGUUGUCAUCACAAAAAGAUUACAAGUAGGGGAGAUGAUAGAUGUGUCAGUUAGCUUGAUGUAAUCAUUCCACAAUGCAAACAUAUAUCAAAACAUCACAUUGUGCCUCAUAAAUAUAUACUCUCCUUUUUUGUCAAUUAAAAAUACAUAUUAAAAAAACAAGGAAAAGGCAUACCACAGGAUUGAAGAAAGACUUGGCUCUUGGGUGUAAUCAAUUGCUGAUACAAUAAGUCACUUCAAAAAUUUUAGAAAGAGAAAAAGAGUGCAGCUAAGGAGUACGGUUAAAAUUAAUUGAAAUACGCAAAGGACCCGUCAAUUUGAAAGUGCUACCUACACAUUUUCAUAGACACUUUACACAGAUGCAUAGUUAUAUUAAUAAUAUAACUUUAAAUACAUAUGAUGGUUCUCACAUUCUGUUGUACAAUGUAACAAUGUAAAACUUAUUUCAUUCAUCUAUGUUUCUUACUUUUCUAAACAUCUACAUUUUUUUUUUGAGAGGGAGUUUUGCUCUUGUUGCCUAGGCUGGAGUGGGAGUGCAGUGGUGCAGUCUCGGCUCACUGCAACCUCUGCCUCCUGGGUUCAAGUGAUUCUCCUGCCUCAGCCUCCCAAGUAGCUGGGACUACAGGUGUGCACCACCACGCCCUGCUAAUUUUGUAUUUUUAGUAGAGACAGGGUUUCACCAUGUUGGCCAACCUGGCCUCGAAUUCCUGACCUCAGGUGAUCCACCCGCCUCAGCCUCCCGAAGCACUUAGACUACAGGCGUGAACCACCACGCCCAGCCCAACGUCUACAUGUCUAAGAAAGAUUAGGUCAUCAAAUUUUUAAAAAUAUCCAUUGCAUGGAACUUAGCGACACUAAAGAUAUUGUAGUAUUGUAGAGGGAACCCCUCACCACACACACAAUUCACUUCUGGAGAGGUGCUAAGGUCUUGUACAUUUAAAUAUCCUGUUACUCGGUCAUCGUGUAUUUUCUUAGUGUAUGCAGUGUGCAGGGACCUUGCCAGGCACUGGGGAUAGAGUGGUGCACUGGUGGUCCCUGACUCUGGUAAACUUGCAGUAAGUCUGUGAUAUUUUUGAAUUCUCAGUAUUCAAUACUCAGGAUCCAGAUGGUAAUUAAGCCAGCAGAGUGCAGAAUGAGGAUAAAAGAGUUGGAACAGGACUGUGAUUUACUUGUACUAUAUUGGAUCUAGCCUUCUAUCAAAAACUGAGGAUGUUUGCACACUUGCUCGCGCUACCACUUCUUCUGUGACGAUGGCUGCUGCAUUGACAUCACGCUCGCCUGCGAUGGAGUGCAGCAGUGUCCUGAUGGGUCUGAUGAAGACUUCUGCCAGAAUCUGGGCCUGGACCGCAAGAUGGUAACCCACACGGCAGCUAGUCCUGCCCUGCCAAGAACCACAGGGCCGAGUGAAGAUGCAGGGGGUGACUCCUUGGUGGAAAAGUCUCAGAAAGCCACUGCCCCAAACAAGCCACCUGCAUUAUCAAACACAGAGAAGAGGAAUCAUUCCGCCUUUUGGGGACCAGAGAGUCAAAUCAUUCCUGUGAUGCCAGAUAGUAGUUCCUCAGGGAAGAACAGAAAAGAGGAAAGUUAUAUAUUUGAGUCAAAGGGUGAUGGAGGAGGAGGGGAACACCCAGCCCCAGAAACAGGUGCAGUGCUACCCCUGGCGCUGGGUUUGGCUAUCACUGCUCUGCUGCUUCUCAUGGUUGCAUGCCGACUACGACUGGUGAAACAGAAACUGAAAAAAGCUCGUCCCAUUACAUCUGAGGAAUCGGACUACCUCAUAAAUGGGAUGUAUCUAUAGUAAUGUAAUUUCAAUACCUUGGGGCAGGGACAUGUUUUGUUUAUAAUUUAUACAUCUAUUAAGUUCUGGAUAUUUACAGCUUCUUUUGUUUUUAAUUGGGCCAGAAGAUUCUGCAAAUCCCAAAUCUUUCUUUAUUAUUUAUUGUAAAAAAAUGUUCCUUAGGAAGUCAUAAAAUAUUUUGAAAUUUAGAGAGGAAUUCAUGAUUAAAGAUUCCUAAAAAUAUAAUUCUGAUUUAUGUAAGCUGUCCCUGAAAAUAGAAAUGUGUACUUAGCUGAGAGAAAAUUCAGCAUCUCAGGAGGUGGUAUUAGGAUGACUGUGUUAACCCAUUACCUUUUAGAAGCCAACUGUUGGCCCCUUACCAUGCUGGACUGCUAUAGGCCCAGCUUCCCCUUGUUCUGUGGCCCUUUUCUUCCUCCUUGAAGCUCCCAGUAUUCUUUUUCUUUUCCCCUCUAAACCUGUUUCUGAGAGUGGAUCUCAAGCGAGUUCAUGCCUUCAAUCAGAUGUUACUUAGGGUGGGUAUACCUAAAUUAUAAACCUUAUGUACAAGUCAGUGAGCCUUAGGGAAGGUGAGUGUGGGUCCUUCCUAAUCCCUCUGACAUCAUGUCAUAUAGGUGGCUGCCUCCUUAGACUGACCUUUGGGAGAAAAAAAAACCCAGACUUUGAAUUAGUAACAGCUCUAAGAUGGUCAUGCAGUGAAAUAGGAAAUCAAGAUGGAAGCAGAGAAUCUGGCAUGCCAAAAACUAACAGAAACUUAGUUGAAGGCAAAGAGAGCAAGGAGAACGUUUAAUACUUCGUUACAUCAAGUCAACACUGCUCCAUGGUGAGAGCACAGCAACUCAUUUAUAUAUAUAUAUAGCCUUUGUUGAUGAAAAACGACAAUUGAAGAGAGGACGUUGAGUGGAUUCCUGGGUACAGCUUUUGUAAAAAUGUCACCAUGGCUUUCAUCCAAUGGGAUGAGUCGAUGUUUUUUAGUGCUAUAAAAUAUUAGAAUGUGCCAUCAGCUAAUGCCAGGCUUACGUAUUUCUAGACCAUAAAGCAGUUUUUCACAAAUUCAUCUUUAUAGAAAACCAGCAUCUAGCUUAGCAUCUUUCCCCUUUUAAUUUGUAGGCUUUUAAAGGCAAAUCAUUCCCACCAUCACUUAAUGCUGGGAUUAUACACAUUCUAGAAAUGAUUCUGAGAGGAAUGUAUAGUAUGGUGCCUAUCUACACUCACAUGAUAUUCUUAUUCACGUUUUUUUUUACCAUAAGUGGCAAAUAUUUUUAAAUAUUUGAAAAACACUCCAGAAUCUAGUACACUUUAUUUUUAGACUGAACCUAAAGUAGGUUGUUCUUUUAACAAAGGGUUUAAUUUGGGUGGGGAAUAUAACAUAUCAAAAUACAUGAACAAAUAGAAAGUUACUUCUAGAAAAGCAAAGAAAUUGGGUAUCAUUUUUGUUUCUUGGGAAGCUAAUUUUGUUGAAUGUUUAGAAUUGAGCAAAGAUGUAAAUUUUUGAAGGGCAAUUUAGAAAAAUUAACUUUGUGAAUGAACUUAAGAUGUCUGUACUCUAUAUGUGAUGCUGUGCAGUUUGUUUUUAUAUGGAAAGAUGUCAACUAUAGCCAUAACCAAUAAAAUAAAAACUGAUGAGGCAUGCAGCUUUCAGCACAUCUUUUAUACAUGAAGAAAUUAAUUCUGUGUUGCUAUGGUGUUGAAAUAUCCAAGAUGUUCUGUAUCUAUGUAAACAUGAUUCCUUUAAUAAAUUGUAUUUUAUUAUUAA